rnacentral:rRNA from 1 species
AACCUCCGCAAUGUGAGAAAUCGCGACGGGGGGAUCCCAAGUGCCAUUCUUAACGGGAUGGCUUUUCAUUAGUGUAAAGAGCUUUUGGAAUAAGAGCUGGGCAAGACCGGUGCCAGCCGCCGCGGUAACACCGGCAGCUCUAGUGGUAACAAUUUUUAUUGGGCCUAAAGCGUCCGUAGCCGGUUUAAUAAGUCUCUGGUGAAAUCCUGCAGCUUAACUGUGGGAAUUGCUGGAGAUACUAUUAGACUUGAGACCGGGAGAGGUUAGAGGUACUCCCAGGGUAGAGGUGAAAUUCUGUAAUCCUGGGAGGACCGCCUGUUGCGAAGGCGUCUAACUGGAACGGUUCUGACGGUGAGGGACGAAAGUUAGGGGCGCGAACCGGAUUAGAUACCCGGGUAGUCCUAACUGUAAACGAUGCGGACUUGGUGUUGGGGUGGCUUUGAGCUGCUCCAGUGCCGAAGGGAAGCUGUUAAGUCCACCGCCUGGGAAGUACGGUCGCAAGAUUGAAACUUAAAGGAAUU